UAUUUUAGUAUAUUUUUAAGGGUUUGUUUAUUGUUAUUUUAUUUAUUUUGUUUAUUGUUAUUUUAUUUUAUUAUUUAUUGUUAUUUUAGAGAGAGAGAGAGAGCACAAGCAGGUGGAGGCGCAGAGGGGGAGAGAGGACCUCAAGCGGACGCCCCACUGAGGACAAAGCCCAACAGGGGCUCCAUCUCACGACCCUGAGAUCGUGACCUGAGCUGAAAUCGUCCGGGGGAUGCUUAACCGGCUGAGCCACCCAGGUGCCCUUUGAGGGUCAAUAUUUUGACAAUUCAAAUGAGAUAUUUUUGAACACGCAAUUCUUCAACAGUAGAAUGCAAUUACGGGGACGGACCACAGUCUUCGCCACUACUUCCCUGUCGCUGGGCGUCUGGGAUGUUUUCUGACCGUCCUGCCAAUGUAAAGAACACCGUGAUUUCACUACCAAAGUACAAAAUCCCAGAGACUGUAGCUGAUAAUGUCAUAGUAACAUCUCUUGGAUGGACCCACGCAGGAGGUGGAUCGUCUCAGUCUGUUAAUCCUACACGGCGUACAGAGAACUACAAUAGGCGCCGCAUUAGUAACACUACACGGAAAGGAUGAGGAAAUGCCAUGAAAGUGUGCUAGUGAGAAAACAAACGCAUUUACCUCGUAGCUCCACGGAGCAGAGCAUCUUUUUUUUUUUUUUUCCUGGGAUUUCAAAGAUUAUUUGAAAAGAAAUAGAUCAUACUCCUUAUGCUGCAUUGGAAAAAACAAGAUCUAGUCCGUCCGAGCUGCCAUGUAACAGACUCCAAAUGAAAUAUAAAUCAAAUAUAAAUAGAAACAGUUGGCAAUUAGAAUUUA
rnacentral:lncRNA from 12 species